rnacentral:rRNA from 1 species
GCCUACGGGGGGCAGCAGUAGGGAAUCUUCCACAAUGGGCGAAAGCCUGAUGGAGCAACGCCGCGUGGGUGAAGAAGGUCUUCGGAUCGUAAAACCCUGUUGUUAGAGAAGAAAGUGCGUGAGAGUAACUGUUCACGUUUCGACGGUAUCUAACCAGAAAGCCACGGCUAACUACGUGCCAGCAGCCGCGGUAAUACGUAGGUGGCAAGCGUUAUCCGGAUUUAUUGGGCGUAAAGGGAACGCAGGCGGUCUUUUAAGACUGAUGUGAAAGCCUUCGGCUUAACCGGAGUAGUGCAUUGGAAACU